rnacentral:misc_RNA from 1 species
UAGCUCCGAUAUGAGACGAGAUCUGCAGGGCAGUUGAGACGUCUUAUUUUCGAACGCAUAUUGCGCCCUGGUGUUCCAAUACCCAGGGCACUUCUGUCUCAGGGUCGUUUGCCUGAAAUAGCUGCAGUGAGACUGGGUGCGCGUGGGUGAGCUCUCGGGCUUGCACACGUUAGCACACAGAGCGCGGUCGACUUCGGUCCCGUCGUCAAGGCAAGAGUACGUCUCUUGUCAUCUCGCUGCGGAUCGCUAUAGACGCGUGCUUGCACCGUCACGAUUGUGCUACGGGGGUCCUCGUUGACCCAUGCUCACUACGCUGAGCUUAGCCGUACGCACUGCAAACUGAGUGUGAGAGCAGAGGCUUCGGCCUCGGCUCGUACCCAUCACACGACCUGAGACAGAG